UGCUACUUGAAGAGAGGUAAUCCUUCACGCAUUUGCUUUACUUGCAAUGAUUAUACAAGGGCAGACUCUCUCUGGGGAGCAAA
ensembl:miRNA MIR300 microRNA 300